AUAAAUACUACAGUGUGGCUUGUGACGCUGUUUGUCGAACGAUGCUUACAUUUAGUGUGAUCCUCGUUCUAGAUGAGAAAUAUAUUGCAACAUGUAUCUUGGUGCAAUCCAAGGCUCGGAAUUCCUGACCUCGUUGUCACUGUCAAAGCGUUCAGCGUCGGACUAAGAAUGCUUUGUCGGGGCCUGUAUGACAACUCACUGGCC
rnacentral:rRNA from 1 species